UGGCUCAGGACGAACGCUGGCGGCGUGCUUCAUACAUGCAAGUCGAACGAGAAGUCACCUUCGGGUGAUGGAAAGUGGCGGACGGGUGAGUAAUGUGUAGAGAAUCUGCCCUAGAGAGAGGGACAACAGUUGGAAACGACUGCUAAUACCUCAUAUGCGCGUAGCUGAGAUGCUAUUCGUGAAAACUCCGGUGCUCUGGGAUGAGUCUGCAUCUGAUUAGCUAGUUGGCGGUGUAAUGGACCACCAAGGCGACGAUCAGUAGCUGGUUUGAGAGGAUGAUCAGCCACAAUGGGACUGAGACACGGCCCAUACUCCGUACGGGAGGCAGCAGGUAGGGGUAUUUUGCGCAAGUGGGGGAAACCCUGACGCAGCAACGCCGCGUGAUUGAAUAACGCCCUUCGGGGUGUAAAGAUCUGUCAGUAGGGACGAAACUUGACGGUACCUACAGAGGAAGCAUCGGCUAACUCCGUGCCAGCCGCUGC
rnacentral:rRNA from 1 species